AACCAUGGUGAUGACAAGAUCUUUGAAGAUCCUUGAAGCUAUCCCAAGCUCCAUAUAAUGUUUCAUCCUCCUCUUGAUAGAAAUCGGAUAUCUUCCUCCUAGCU
rnacentral:snoRNA from 1 species